UCAAAAAUUAUAAAUAGCUUAUUAUUAAUUUACUUGUAUGAACUGAAUCAGGUUUCACACAAACAAUAUAAGCAUUCACCUUCAUGCAAUAUUUCUAGUACAUAUAUAAACUCAUUUCAUGGUACUUCUCAGUUCUUUCUGCAGCAGCAUGUGCUACUACUGCCUUUAACACAACUGCUCUUAUCCUUGUCAUAACCUUGGUUAACACAGUUAGCUUUGCACGCAAUGUUGCCACUAGCUCGGUCUGGUGGCGAACAAUAGUCCACAGUUGUACACAGGUCAGUAUCUGUGCACAAAUCACAAUAGAGAUACCUCAAUCAACACAUAUAACUGACCAGGAAAAUAUAUAUUUGUGUAUCCAAAAACGAGUGAAGAGAUUAUGAAAGAAAGAAGAAAACCAUACCUAUGUAACGCCCUGCUGCAUGACAUGAGAAGACAGUGGUGGCCAUGGCUACAAGAGCUACCAAGCACAGGGCCUGUGUGUAGUUCCGGAUACUGGACAUGGGAGAUAGUUAGCUAUUCCUUUUCUGCUAAUGUUGUUCGUUGAUUUUGCCGAACUCAGGUUCUUUGCCUAGGUGCUUGUUUUUAUAUUGAGCGAAACUAGCAGGCUUGGAGCUUAACACGGAAGAAAAACUUGGAGGAAAUUUAUUUCUUUCCUCCUAUAGAUUUGUAGUAAAUAAAUGCCUCUUUGUACAAAGGCUUGCUAUAAUCUCCACAAUAAAUUCUUGCCAUUUAAUCAUAUUAUGUAUUAAUGCAUCGUUAUCUGCAUUGUGUUAAUGCUUCCUUAUCCUCAUUAAUAUAUGCUUGGUAUAUGAGCCUAUUAUACAUGUGGUUUACUUUAUCCCAUGGUAGUUCUGAUAUAUAGUGCCCUCACCCACACUCAUUGAUACAGAAAAAGUAGAGUUGUCCUCAUGAGUAGGGAUGAAAACAAAGCAAAAUGCACAAAACUUAGUCCUGCCACAUUAUGUUUGUAUUUCUAAAUGCAUAAAUGAAUAACAAAACCAAGCAAACGAAUAUACAAACAUAUCAUAUUGGAAAUAGAUACAUACCAAAUAUGCUAUCUACACAAAUAAAAAAGCUAUGGAUGGGUGGUUGACAUGGUGCCAUCAUGACAGCAAUCUGAUGUCCUUAAUACUUGGUUGCGCUAAUACGCCUACUCGUUUACUUGAUUUGGCAGUAGAACAAAUUAGGUUGAGUUCAUUCAUCACACGGGGUGCAAAAUAAGUUAUUCUUCACUCGAGAUAAUGUUACAUAAUUUCAUAAAUAAAUUAUAUUUGAAAUACAAGUCGUUACAUUCAUAUUGAUUCACCGCGUAAAAUGUGGCAUAAGAAAAAAAUAUAGGUCAUAAUACCAGAAACAUUGCAUUCUAUGUACAUUUUACACUAAGUUUUUACAUGUAUAUCUUACAUAACAUAACAUAUUUUUACGGCGAUUAUAUAUUUUCAUACAUUCUUUUUUUACAUCUGAAAUAAGACAAAAUUUAUGGAACAUAAAAGUACGGUGCAUUAAUAAAAUAGAGAGGGGUGAACAAUAACUAUUCCUCACCAAGGGUGACGAAUAUAUAAUUUUACGUUCUGACCACCACGCGCACCAACAAAUUAAACUAAACUGUCACGCGUGCCUACACCCACCGUAGAAGCGUCCACUUCAUUUGAUAGUCAAACAAUUACCAUGUAGUAAAUCUAAGCAACCCGAUCAUACAACAAUUAUUGUGUAGUAAAGUUUAAGAAAUAUUUCCUUCUAGUCGAUGUUAUUUCCAUAAACUUCUAAACCUCCUCCGGAGGCAAAAAGAACUACACUGCAAUAUUAGCAGAAAAAAUUGCAUGCCCUAUUUGGGUACUGCUUGCGAUGUUAAACCGUUCGUUGGAAGGAGGCGUGUAAUAUACCAUUGGAAAGCUAUGGAUUAGGCGCAACUGUGCCACAUUGAACACUUUUCUAUAUUCAUCACAGUUUAAAAGCAGUGUAAAAAAUGGUGCGGCACCCGAUGAGUUGUAGGGAGCGUAUUUUCGUGUUUUUUCCGAAUGGCUUGUUGGAAUUAUGCAAAUCAUAUAUUGUUGGAAAUAUAUCAUCGAGGCGCAACUUUUUAAUAUAUAAUACUCUCUCUAAUUCUUUACGGUCUAAGAGUAGUUUCAAAUUUACCAAAACACGAAAACUCUGUUUUUCAAAUUUUGUGAUUUUUCGUUCCGGUUUUUGCUGCAAUUUUUUAACCGCGUGACUUUUGGUUGUCUUUUUCAUACUUAUCUUUUCAAGCGCGUGGACCUACCGAGUGGACAGCAUGGACUGAGCGAGCGAAUCGCACUGCAUCGAGAAGUGAACCAAAUUAUUAUUUUUGUUGUUUUCCUAAUAUUUUCGCAUUUCACAUUGGAAACAAGUGAACAACAUCACUCUUGAAAGUGUACCACAUGGCAUAAACUAGUAAACUACAUCUGAAAAGAAGUGAGCUUCUCACGAUGUUUUUCUUUUUUCCUGUUUUACAAAGUGAACUACAGAAGAUGUUUACACUGAACCGCAUCCCAAGUAAUCUUUUUCUUGUCAAUACGGACUGUAUCCCACCAAGUUUGGAUUAUUUUUCUACUGCAUACGACAACCGAAUUUUGAGCAAUGAGCAAUGAACCAUGGUGGUUUCCCACAUUCUUUUGUCUUGUUUUAUAGGAGCGAACCACAUAGUUGUGGAAAACGAACUACACUUGUGUUUUCUAUUAGUUGGCCUGGAAUCUAAAUGAACCGCAUCAGUUCUUUUUGUCUUUUUAUAAUAAAAAAAUACAAAUAUAUAUGGACUUCGUGCUCAAACUUAGGAACUGCAAUUGUUUUUCAUGAUUAUGUACUAUGGGGAUCAUUUCUAUUUUUUUCACUUUUAGUAUUUUAUAUAGAGGGGAAGAAAAUGAACUGUAAUACUUCUUUUUUUUCUCACGGGUGUGUACUGUAAAAAUGGACCUAAAACAAAUAAUCAAGAUUACAAUCCGGUACUUUUGGACACGCCUUGGAUGUGACUACUCAUCACCAUCCUCAGUUGCCAUCGUGGCCGAACACCAUGCCCCCAACUAGACGUCUUAGCGCCGGUAAGUGCACUGUGUCAUGUCGGGAUUCGAACUACAAUGGUGUUGAACAUAGAGCUCGCUAGAAACCAAGCCGUUGUUUGUCGUUGUCUCUCAGUGUGCCCAUCAACUUCAUAGAGACGCACACUGAACCACAUCUCAAGCCCCCACUCCACCAGCAUGUACAAACCGCAUGCCACAUGAAUGCCAUCUUCACGCAAAUAGAGCUACAAUCAAAAUAAGAAGCACACUGUACUAAACAUUGCCCAAAUUAAAAAUAGCGAACUACAAAAAAAAUUAAGUUUUUUGGAAAAGGUGACGCACGUACUACACUUGGGUUUCCCUUCACACUGCAUUGUCCGGGGUGCCUUGACUGCAAGGGGAGGAGGGCAACUCAUCAAGUCAUACUACAUGGGCGUGCGAUGAUGAUCAGCGAACUACACGUGGCGCGCUACCGAGCUGCACGAAAAAAAGGGGAUGGAGGUCAGCAGGAUGGGGCGCUCGUCAAUCCAAGCUGAACAACACGGGAGGAGUAACCGAAUCGCCUACAAAUCCAACAUGAACCUCGCCGAAGUGGAGGUGGAGUUCCUGCUGUGGUUUUGCCACGACAAAUGUCCUUGUGAGAAGACUAAGUUGUGAAGCCAUCGCCGCUAGAAGGAAACUUGGAUGGGGUUGAUCGCAACAUGAUAAGACUUGAUUUUACCGAGGUUCGACCCCUCAUGGUGGAGGUGAAAGCCUACAUCCUGCUUGAUUGCUAUUCAUUGUCAUGGUCUCGAUUACAAGGGCGUUAUUUUCCUACCUUUGUCUCGAGAGCUAUCAGAACACGCAUCUGUCUCGAGACCUAUGAAAACAUCUCUCUCGAUAUUUAUCUAGAAACUCGUGCUUCUCAUGACCCAGGGACUCGCUUUAUAUCAUAGUUGAGUCCAUGGGGUUACAAGAGAUUCCAGGUUAUACCCACGGUUGAAGUCCUACUAUAAAUGCCCUAAAUCCUCCAUGUCUUCCAGGUCUGGCGUUUCCAUCUUGUAUUUGGACUCCUUGGUGGAAUUUCAUCUAAGUCCAGGUGAUAUAGCAUGCCGGGUCCUGUAGCAGGCCAGGUCAAGAUUGUAGCCAGGUCAAGAUUGUGGUCGGGUCAAGAUUGUAGUUGGGUCAUGAUUGUAACUAGCUGACUUAACUCCAUAAAUGACUUAACUCUAGAGAUAACUUAUCCUCAGAUCCUGGUCUAGCCACGGGUAACUCCCCCGACAGUUCCUCUCGCUCCCGCCUGCAUAGGGGUGCUGCAUGUUGGCCACGCAUUUUUGGAGGUAGCCUAGGAUCUGUGAUAGCUUGCACACGCGUCAGGAUCCACCAGAGAAGGGGGAACUGGAAAAGGUUGCUUGAGAAGGGACGUGAUAUUGGGCCGACGGUGGGAGGCCAAUACGUCUCCGACGUAUCUAUAAUUUUUUAUUGUUCCAUGCUAUUAUAUUAUAUGUUUUGGAUGUUUUAUAUGCAUUAAUAUGCUAUUUUAUAUUAUAUUUGGGACUAACUUAUUAACCCAGAGCCCAGUGCUAGUUUCUAUUUUUUCCUUGUUUUUGAGUUACAGAAAAGGAAUAUCAAACGGAGUCCAAACAGAAUAAAACUUUACGGUGAUUUUUCUUGGAUCAGAAGACAAACGUAGGACUUGAAGACCAAGGCAGAAGAGUCCUGAGGCAGCGGCAAGGGUGCAGGGCGCGCCCCAGGGGGGCUCCCCCUGCCUUGUGGGUCCCUCGAAGCUCCUCUAACCCUAAUCUUCUGCCUAUAAAUUUAGAAAUAUUCCAAACCAUCAGAGGCAUCCACAAAAAUACUUUUCCACCGCCACAAGCCUCUGUUCCCGUGAGACACAUCUUGGGGCCUUUUCCGGCAAUCUGCCGGAGGGGGAUUUGAUCACAGAGGGCAUCUACAUCAACCUUAUUGCCCUUCCGAUGAUGCGUGAGUAGUUUACCUUAGACCUACGGGUGUAGAGCUAGUAGCUAGAUGGCUUCUUCUCUCUCUAUGAUCUUCAAUACCAAGUUCUCCUCGAUGUUCUUGGAGUUCUAUCCGAUGUAAUAUUCUUUUCCGGUGUGUUUGUCGACAUCCAAUGAAUUAUGGAUUUAUGAUCAGAAUAUCUAUGAAUAUUAUUUGAAUCUUCUCUGAAUUCUUAUAUGCUUGAUUUGGUAUCUUUGUAUUUAUCUUCAAAUUAUCGGUUUGGUUUGGCCAACUAGAUUGGUAUUUCUUGCAAUGGGAGAGGUGCUUAGUUUUGGGUUCAAUCUUGCGGUGUCCACACCCAGUGACGUAGUAGGGGUAGCGAGGCAUGUAUUGUAUUGUUGCCGUCAAGGAUAAAAAUAGGGUUUUCAUAAUAUUGCUUGAGUUUAUUCGUCUACAUCAUGUCAUCUUACUUAAGGCAUUACGCCGUUCUUUAUGAACUUAAUACUCUAGAUGCAUGUUGGAUAGCGGUUGAUGCGUGGAGUAAUAGUAGUAGAUGCAGGCAGGAGUUGGUCUACUUGACACGGCGUGAUGCCUAUAUGCAUAAUCGCCUUGGAUAUCGUCAUAACUUUGCACGUUUCUAUCAAUUGCUCGAUAGUAAUUUGUUCACCCAUGGUAUGUUUUCUUUCAAUAGAGAAGCCUCUAGUGAAACCUAUGGCCCCCGGGGUCUAUUUUCCAUCAUAUAUUUUUGGAUCUAUAAACCAAAAAAACCCAAAAAUACCUUGCUGCAGUUUUUUUAUGUUUUAGUAAUCUUUUAUAUCUAUCUCUAUCAGAUCUCACCAUUGCAAUUGAUCAUGAAGGGAUUGACAACCCCUUUAUCACGUUGGGUGCAAGUGUUUGAUUUUUUGUGGAGGUGCAUAGAUUGGAGACUUGCUUGUACCUCCUACUGGAUUGAUACCUUGGUUCUCUAACUGAAGGAAAUACUUUUCUCUACUUUGGUGCCUCACCUUUCCUCUUCAAGGGAAAAACCAAUGCAAGCUCAAGAAGUAGCAUGAAGAAUUUCUGGCGCUGUUGCUGGGGAGGUUCGACAUCAAGCCUACCAAGUACCCAUCAUAAACUCUCAUCUCUUGCAUUACUUUAUUUGCCAUUUGCCUCUCGUCCCCCCCCCACUUCUAAAACAAUUUUUAGAAAACACCAAAAUAUUUUCCUUUUUUAUUCUCCCUUCUCUUGCUCGUCUUUUCAUUUACUUUUUGUUUGCUAGAAUUCCCGUAUGGCUCAACCCAAAAGCUUUGAUCCUUAUUUUAGGAAGUUGGAAGAGAUUGAAAGUAAUGCUAAAAGUUUCAUGACUUUACAAUAUGAGUAUAACAAUUUCUUUAGAAACGAGCUUAAAGAACAAAAAACUAUGAUGGGGUAUAUUAAUAAAGAUCUUGAUGACAUGUCUAAGGAAUUUUACGGUUUGAAAUCUCAGUUUUCUCAUUGAAAAUUUAGCAGGCAAAAUUUAUGAUAAACAUGCUACUUUAGCAAAUAAAUGGCCGCUAAACCGGAGCCUUUGAAUAAUGAUGAAGAUCUUAAAGUGAUUGAUGUGACUCCUAUUGAAUCUUUGUUUUCUAAUAUAAAUCUUGAUAAAGAUGGGACUGGAGAUGAGUCAACUUUAGCUAGAAGGCAUCCCAAUGAUUUGCAGUUCAUAGAUCUUGAUGCAAAAAUUGAUAAAAGUGGGAUUGGAGUGGUCAAAACUUUAAGUAGCAAUGAAUCCGCUCUUUUGGAUUUAAAGGACUUUAAUUAUGAUAAUUGUUCUUUGAUAGAUUGUAUUUCCUUGUUGCAAUCCAUGUUGACUUCUCCUCAUGCUCAUAAUCAAAAUAAAGCAUUUACUGAACAUAUUGUUGAUGCCAUGAUGAAAUCUUUUGAAGAAAAACUUGAGUUGGAAGUUUCUAUCCCUAGAAAGCUUUAUGAUGAUUGGGAACCUACUGUUAAGUUAAAAUUGAAGAUUAUGAGUGCCAUGCUUUGUGCGAUUUGGGUGCUAGAAUUUCCACCAUUCCAAAAACUCUAUGUGGUGUGUUAGGUUUCCGUGAAUUUGAUUAUUGUUUUUUAAAUUUGCAUCUGGUGGAUUCCACUAUUAAAAAACCUAUCGGAAGGAUUAAUGAUGUUCUUAUUGUUGCAAAUAGGGAGUAUGUGCCCGUAGAUUUCAUUGUUCUUGAUAUAGAUUGAAAUCCUACAUGUCCUAUUAUUCUUGGUAGACCUUUCCUUAGAACAAUUCGUGCAAUUAUUGAUAUGAAAGAAGGAAACAUUAGAUUUCAGUUUCCAUUAGGCAAACACUUUCUAAGAAAGAAAAUUAAGUUGCCAUAUGAGUGUAUUAUGAUAGCUACUUAUGGAUUGCAUACCAAAGAUAACAAUACCUAGAUCUAUUGCAAUAUGCCUAGCUAGGGGCGUUAAACAAUAGCACUUGUUGGGAGGCAACCCAAUUUUAUUUUUGUGUUUUUGUUUUGCUUCUGUUCUUGAAUAAAAUACACAUUAUUACCUCUAUAGUAAUUGUGUUUUGGUGUUUUUAAUUAGUGUUUGUGCCAAAUAAAGCCUUUGGGGUACUUUGGUAUAUCAUUGAUUUGAUCUUGCUGAAAAACAGAAACUUCUGCGCUCUUUGCCAGCAUUGUUAAAAAUCACAUAAGCGUGAUAAAAUCCUGAAGGUGGGGGGAGAUGGGCCGUAUCUGGUGGCUUCGGUGACAUGGGGCGAUAAGUAGCUGGGAGCAUGGGUGGACUGCGAGAGACAAAGAAGAUGGUGGGGAUUUGGGGUGCGGCUGCAAGGGUCUGUGAGGAGUGGGGNNNNNNNNNNNNNNNNNNNNNNNNNNNNNNNNNNNNNNNNNNNNNNNNNNNNNNNNNNNNNNNNNNNNNNNNNNNNNNNNNNNNNNNNNNNNNNNNNNNNNNNNNNNNNNNNNNNNNNNNNNNNNNNNNNNNNNNNNNNNNNNNNNNNNNNNNNNNNNNNNNNNNNNNNNNNNNNNNNNNNNNNNNNNNNNNNNNNNNNNNNNNNNNNNNNNNNNNNNNNNNNNNNNNNNNNNNNNNNNNNNNNNNNNNNNNNNNNNNNNNNNNNNNNNNNNNNNNNNNNNNNNNNNNNNNNNNNAGAAUAGACCUACCCUAUAUAUGGCUUGUUCCUUAUAACGACUACAAUCAGGGAUAUUCUAUGGCUUUUUCCAUAGUGGUGUGAGAAUUCCAAUCUUCUUGAUUAAUUUCUCAUUAUUUGACGUGAUAAUAAUGAUUUAUUUUUGUGUGUCGUGGCAUUAAAAUGACUUUAGCGACGUAAUGGAAAAUAGAUACUAAAUAAACAAUUAUCAUUAGCUUAUUAUUAAUUUAUUUGUAUGAACUAAAUCAGGUUUCACAGAAACAAUAUAAGCAUUCACCUCCAGGCAAUAUUUCUAGUACAUAUAUAAACUCAUUUCAUGGUACUUCUCAGCUCUUUCGGCAGCAACAUGUGCUACUACUGCCUUCCAUGCAACUGCUCUUAUCCUUGUCAUAACCUCGGUUAACACAGUUAGCUUUGCACGCAAUGUUGCCACUAGCUCGGUCUGGUGGCGAACAAUUGUCCAUAGUUGUACACAAGUCAGUAUCUGUGCACAAAUCACAAUAGAGAUACCUCAAUAAACACAUAUAACCCACCAGGAAAAUAUAUGUUUGUGUAUCCAAAUACGAGUGAAGAGAUUGUGAAAGAAAUAAGAAAACCAUACCUACAUAAUGCCCUGCUGCAUGACAUGAGAAGACAGUGGUGGCCAUGGCUACAAGAGCUACCAAGCAUAGGGCCUAUGUGUAGUUUCGCAUAUCGGCCAUGGGAGAUAGUUAGAUAUUCCUUUUCUGCUAAUGUUGUUCGUUGAUUUUGCUGAAUUCAUGUUAUUUGCCUAGGUGCUUGUGUUUAUAUUGAGGGAAAGCUAACAGUCUUGGAUCUUAGUACAGAAGAAAAACUUGGAGUAAAUUUAUUUCUUUCCUCCUAUAGUUUUGAAGUAAAUAAAUGCCUCUUUGUACAAAGGCUUGCUAUAAUCUCCACAAUAAAUUAUUGCCAUUUAAUCAUAUUAUGUAUUAAUGCAUCCUUAUCUGCAUUGUGUUAAUGCUGCCUUAUCCUCAUUAAUACAUGCUUGGUAUAUGAGCCUAUUAUACAUGUGGUUUAAUUUAUCGCAUGGUAGUUCUGAUUUACAGUGCCCUCACCCACAGUCAUUGAUACAGAAAAAGUAGUGUUGUCCUCACGAGUAGGGAUGAAAAGAAAUCAAAAAUGCACGAAACUAAGUGUUGCCACAUUAUUCUUUAUUUUUUCUGAAUGCAUAAUUGAAUAUAAAAACUAAGCAAAUGAAUAUAGAAACAUAUCGUAUUGGAAAUAGAUACAUACCAAAUAAGAUAUCUACACAAAUACAAAAGCUAUGGAUGGGUGAUUGACACAGUGCCAUCAGGACAGUAGUCUGGUGUCCCUAACACUUGGUUGCGCUAAUAGGCUACUCGAUUACUUGAUUUAGCAGUAGAACAUAUUAGGUUGAGUUUCUUUCAUAGAGAUUGACAAGGGCCUGCAUGACAAGGCCUAAUGGAGCCGUAAUGUCCACACUAUGAUGGAAAGUUUUUUAUUUGGGGAAGGAUAAAUUCCAUUUCCAUAUCCAUUCCACCAAAAAUUUAUGUUCUAUCCACUUAAAGAUUUAUGUUUUUGUUUCCUUAUUUGUGGAAAACAUAAAUAUUGAACAUUUAAGUGUCGAUUUCAUUCCUACUACUGAGAGUGCGCGUGUAUGAUGGGAUAGAAAUUUUUGGUAUUUUUUCUGAUCAAUACAAAACACUUAAUGAAGUUUCACGUUGUCGGGGAAACUGAUCCUCGAACACCUAUGGGGCCGGCGGACCGGGCCCCUUUCGAUUCGGCGGGGGGCGGAGAUCGCACGAAGAGCAGAUCGAGGCGAGGCACACGAGCAGUUUACCCAGCUUCGGAGCUCUCUGGAGAGAUAACACUCCUACUGCUGCUUGUCUGGUUGUAUUAUCUGGUGUUCUUGCUCUCCAAAGCGAGAGUGUGAUGUUCUCUGGGCUACGGAUGGAUCGAAGCAAACUACCUGGGGCCCCGAACCUCUGAGCCAAACCCCCUCUACGUUGCACAUGGGCCUCCUUUUAUACGCUAAAGGGGUCACCGACAGGUGGCAAUGCAGAGGAGGGUAAAAACGUAAAAAGCGAGGUAGUUGAUACAGUUGCUUGUACAGUGCACCCUACCUAACCCCGACGACAGGGGACAAGGGCAUUAAAUGCCUGUCUGAGUCGCCCGAACAAUGCAGAAAAGGACCGUUAGGGGCGCCACCAUUCACCACGAUGGCGAUCUUGUCAGCUUCGCAUGCCACUGCACACCGCUGGCUGCAUAGCCUCUCGCCACGCACGCCCGGAGAGGCCCCUAGAGCGACACGUUGGUGGAUGCGCUGGAGCAUGGACGCAGAGUGGCCUCCUGCCGCGGCAAGCGCCUUGCCGCUGUUGUUAUCUUGUCGGGUCCGGAAGCUUGUCGCUCACCGGGCUUCGAGGUACCUUGGUUUGUCUUCCCGGCAAGCUCCUCUUGCCGGGGCCUUGUCGCCUUGCCGGAGCGCGUGGCGCGUCGCGGCAAGUUCAUUGGAGUGUCUUCGUUGGCCUUCCCGGCAAGCUCCUCUUGCCGGGGCCUUGUCUCCUUAGCUUAAAUACUUUGUUCUUAGAUGGCUCCAAGGGAACCUUGGGGGAUCUUGGCGAUCACCCGGCAAGCCUUUGCCGCGGGGUGCUGCAACUGCCCGUGCACAAGUUCGGGGUACUAGGGUACCCCCAAUCUAGUACACCGACAGGAGCCCCCAGGCCUGGGCCAGACACGGUGCCGAGCGCUGUUGGUCCAGGCCAAGGACAGGGCACGGGCACACGCGGGCUGGGCCACGCCAAAUCUUGUUCCGUAUCCACCGCACUCUCCCAUAACGGCAUGCGUUGAUUGCGGCAUCGUGGGAGAGAUCGUGGGUGGUUGUUUAAGCGGAAGGCCGAAACGUCCGCCCGUCCCUCUUUAUAAGCAGAGGAAACAGGGGCAGUUCGUUCCCCCUCGCUGCUUGCUGCUACUCCUUCUUCACAAACUCCGCCGCUCCCCUGAAGCCGAGUCGAGCGAGGCCGGCGAGGAGGAGGCUGAACCUUCAGAGAGCUUGCCACAGGCGGAGCCCCCGACCCCGCCAAGGAGGUGCCUUCGCAGGGCCGGGGACGCAGCAGGGCGGCAGCCGGCUCCACAGCCACCGAGCCGCGCGACGCGCUCUACCGCGGCAAGUAAUGUUGCCGCGGGACCGCCUCACGCAACAGCGGCAACUGGAGCGGGAUCUUCCCGGGCCACCGCCACCGCCCCGCCCAAGCGGGCAAGGGAUCCUACUCCUCCACCUCGCCGCACCGGAGGAGGGCCGGACUUCGAUCUUUCCGCGCUCAGCUCCGAUGAGGAGGAAGAAGAGUGAGUUUCUUCGGCGCCCUUAUAAUCCUUCAAUCUUGCUGUUUAUAUCUUGUAUCUGACUUGCUCCAAUAUGGACUAUUUUCUUUUCAGAACAUUGGCCCAGAGAGCGGCGAAGAGGGCCAAGGCCGCGGUGAUCGUCAUCGAGGAUGACCCCAUCGCGUCGGCAGGAGGUGGGUCCGAGAUCACCUUUACGGACCUGGCAAUCACCCCUCGUAGCAGCCCCCAGCGCAGCCCCCAGCGUAAGUUCAUAGUUUAGCCUUCUGCUGUCGAGCGCGCUUGAGUGUUUUUUCUUUGUUGAUAUCUUGCUUGUUGACUUGUGCAGGAGCAGAGCAGCCUCAUCAGGAGCGCCCGGAGGCCGGUCCCGAAGUGCCACCUGCUUCGACUGCGCCGCCAAGGGAGGAGUCCCCGGCAAGGGAGCGCUCUCCGGCAAGGGAGGACUCUCCGGCAAGGGACGGCACUGCUGAUCCUGCAGCGACCGAGGCCGCAACUAAAGAUCUUGGCGCAGGUAAUCCACUUGCCCAAAAACUUUCCCUUGGGUUCUGCUUCUUCUGUUUUUCUUUCCUUGAAUUUUUGAUUGAUUUUCCUCCCUUCUUCGUUCUUCAGACCCAUCUUCGGCUGAGCCAAUGGAGACAGAGGGCGCCGGCGAGGAAGGUGCCGGGGCUGAUGAGACCGCCGGCGAGGAGGCCGCCGGGGCUGCUGCUGCGGGAGCCGGCGAGGGAUCAGGCGAUCGCACUGACGACCCCGAGGCCGCAGGAGCGCCGGGCGCUGCAUCGACCGCCGAACCCUCUGCCGCUUCCGCAGAGCCGGGCUCCGAGGAGCCCCAGCCCGGCGCCUACUUGCAGUCCGGUGACAACAUCUUCAUCAAGCUACCCUGGGCGUCGAGCUCCAGGGCGCCAGUCGAGGGGGAGACUUUCGACGGGGAGGUGCUCGCCUCUGCUGGGCUAUCAUUGGUUGACGCGCCCGGCAGCAGCAGCGGCGAGCCUGAGGAGGAGCAGUUGCUGCAGAAGCUGCUGUCACUCUACCGCACCCGGCAAGCCAAGCUGGCUUCCCGGGAAGCGCUUGUCGCGAAGGCGGGAGUUGACAUGGAGAAGCGCGCGGAGGAGCUUCGGGGACAAAAUCAAGAAGCUCUUCGAUCCCUGGAGCAGGAGCGGGAGCGAGUAGACGAGGAGCGCACGACCUUUCUUCUUGAGAAGGCCGAGGCUGAGGAGGAACAAAGGCUUGCUGCCGAGAAGCAGUCCGCGCGGGAAGGCGAGCUAGUGCAGCGGAAGGCCUACCUUGACAGCUACGAGGAAGAGCUCGCCGAGCGCGAGCGAGCACUUGGCGGGGCGCUCAAGGAGGCAAAGGAUGCCGCGGCAACUGCAGAGGCCGCCAAUAAGGAUCUAGAGGAGAAGGUGGCGCGGCUGGAGGCCGAAAUUGGGAAGAGUGGUGAGGAGAUUGCCGGUCUCAAGCGUGAGCGCGAGAAGGAUGCUGCCGCCCAUGGUGAACUGCAAGGCCUUCUCGCUGAGAGGGGCAAGGAGCUCAGCACCGCCAAGGAUUCCAAAGCAGACCUGGAGCUAAAGUUGGCCACACUGACGCAGACGCUAGAGGCCGCCAAGGAGCGGGAGAAGACCUUGGCGGAGAAGGUCAAGGCCGACGCUGCGCUGCUGGAGAGCAUUGCAGUCACCCAGAACUCCUUCAGAGACACAGUGGAGCACUGGACCGAGGGUCUGGUGAACACUGCCGCCAUCAUCAACGAGGAGCUGGCGCAGCUGGGGAUGGAGGACUUUGGGUAUCCUUCCGACGAGAGCCUUCAGCCCAGCGCCAAGCUCAGCCUAUUCUUCAAGGGCGUGGCGACGGCACUCCAGCGACUCCGGGAAAGGAUCCCGAAGCAGCUGGCCGACGAGUCAUGCAAAAUCUGUGCUGGGGUUCUCUAGAAGGUGCUGAUGAAAGUAGCCUUCCGCAAUCCAGGCCUCAGCUUCACCAACGUCCUCCGAUCCUUGCCGCCUGACGCCGAUUUGGAUGCACUCAAGGCCCUUGUCGCACCCAUUGUGGACAAGGUGAGCGAGAUCAAGCGAGUCGAGGGCGGACGCGUAGAUUAGGCCACCCAUUUCUUCUUUUCCCUUGUCGCUGCUAGUCAUGUCAUGAAAACAGUCUAUUAGAGCUGCGACAAGUUAUCUUUGUAAUAUAACUUUAUUUCUGUCUAUCAAUUGCAAUGUUAUUUCCUCUACUGGAUUCCUUCCUUUGUAUGUUUUCACCCUACGCUUCUAGGGAACUUGUCGGCGCAGGCGCCCGAACCACGAGCGCUGAGUGCGGAACUUCAGCAGCCUGCUGGCGGCGCUGCUUCCGACAAGAAACCUUGCCGCGACUAGAUGCAGCACGCUUAAGUUGUCGAGCGGACUCGAAACAAAGUAAGGGCGCAACUAGCCACAAGUUGGUUCCUCCGCGCACAGGUUUUCCAUACAAGGCCGGGUCGUUCGAGGAAGAUAACUCAAAAAAUUAAAAAAGUGAUUGCUCAAACUUUGGCAACUUAGCUUUUCUGUCAUUUGCUUCCCGGUAAGGUGAGUCUUUGCUUGAACGUCGCCUGGCCCACACCACAAUCUUCUCCUUCCCCCCGGCAAACUUGUGUGCGAGAGAACCUUCUUUUCCUUAAAAAGGAAAAGAAAGAAGAGAAAAUAAUAGUAUAGAGCACUUCGGCUCGUUACUGCUUACCGGAUGUAAGUGCUGCACAAAGUGUCAAAUAAUCACAUGCAAGAAAGGAACUAACGCAUGAAAUGGACAAGCUGUGCGGAGCACAUGGGUUUUUACUUAUGCACGGGAUCUGCGCCCGGCUUUGUACAAAGGAUUACAUGCAACAGCGGCAAGACUUGUACAAAAGGUGGUUGCCGGAACGGGUCCCGGCAACCGCGCCUUAUGGGAAAAACUUACGAAGAUGUUCUAUGUUCCAGGAGCUGCUCGCUGGAAUGCCAUCUUCGAUCUCAAGGCGGACAACGCCAGGCCUUGUGACUCGUCUCACCCGAUAAGGGCCUUCCCACUUCGGCGUCAACUUGUUGGAAUUCUUGGCAGACUGAACGCGCCGAAGAACAAGGUCGCCUUCCUCGAAGCUUCUGGCUUUAACUUUGCGGCUAUGAUAGCGGCGCAAAGCUUGCUAGUAUCGAGCAGCUCGUAUAGCAGCCUGAAGACGAUCUUCCUCAAGGAGCAGCGCGUCGUCUUGCCGCAGCUGUUCUUGCUCAAGCUCAUCAUAAGCAAGCACUCGAGGUGAUCCGUAUACGAGUUCCGUGGGGAGAACUGCCUCUGCUCCAUAGACUAGAGCGAAACGUGUCUGGCCAGUGGCUCGAUUUGGUGUUGUUCUAUUGACCAAAGAACCACUAGUAGCUCCUCGAUCCAGUUCUUUCCGCACCUGUGCAGCCUGUCGAAAGUUCUGGUCUUGAGCCCGCGCAACACUUCAGCAUUUGCCCUUUCUACUUGACCGUUGCUUCUCGGAUGAGCAACAGAAGCGAAGCAGACCUUGGCGCCAAGGUCUUGGACGUACUGCAUGAAGGUGCGGCUCGUGAAUUGCGUACCGUUGUCGGUGAUGAUCCUGUUAGGGAUCCCGAAACGGCAAACAAUUGACCUGAAGAACUUGACUGCUGACUGUGCUAUCACCUUCCUCACUGGCUGCACUUCCGGCCACUUUGUGAACUUGUCGACUGCGACGUACAAGUACUCAAAGCCCCCGACAGCUCGGGGAAAGGGGCCGAGGAUGUCGAGCCCCCAGACCAAAAAUGGCCAGGAUAAAGGGAUUGUCUGGAGAGCUUGAGCUGGAUGGUGUAUCUGUUUGGAGUGGAACUGGCACACUUCACACUUGGUUACUUGUGCAGUUGCAUCCUGGAGGGCUGUCGGCCAAAAGAAACCUUGCCGGAAAGCUUUGCCGGCAAGUGCUCUUGCGCCUAUGUGGUGGCCACAUAUGCCUCCAUGUAUCUCUGCCAACAGCUUCUGUCCAUCUUCCCGGCGAAUACACUUCAAUUUCACACCGUUGAGUCCUCUUCUGUACAGUAUGCUAUCGACAAACUGGUACAUACUUGACUGCCGGGCUACUCUCUCUGCUUCUUCUUGUUCUUCGGGAAGUUCUCCUGUCUGAAGGAAAUGGACAAUCUGCUGUGCCCAUGCUGGAGCCUGUGGCUCGACAACAAGGACUAAAGGCACAUCUUCUGCUGCGGGAACAUCUGCUUCUACGGCAGGGACUUGCGGUCCUGCCGGAGCUUGAUGUUCCCCGACAAGCUUGCCGGAGCAAAACUUGUCGGGAGCGUCUGCUUCAACGGAACAAACCAUAAGGCUUGCCGGAGCAGACUACCCCUCAGCAUCUGUGGUGUUGAUCUUGGGGACUUUCUUGGCGGCGGCUUCGGGGAGCUCUGCCGGAAAGUAGUCACCAGAAACCAACUUCCUCUUUUUGCUUUGUCCAGUUGAUGGUGUUACGGAUGGUUGAGUCAACUUAAGCAUAAAGAUCCCUGGUUCCACAGGUAACUUUAGUGCGGCGCACUUUGACAAGCUGUCAGCAAUAUCAUUCUGAGCUCUUGGGAUAUGCUCCAUUUGUAGGCCGUCAAAGUGCUCCUCUAGCUUCCUCACUUCAUCGACAUACGCUUCCAUCAACGGACUCUGGUAGUUCUUGUUCACUUGUCGGACGACAAGCUGUGAGUCACCCCUGACAAUGAGCUUCUUAAUCCCAAGGUCUGCUGCGAUUCUGAGACCGGCAAUCAAUCCUUCAUACUCUACAGUAUUGUUGGUUGCUUGCUCUUUGGGAAAGUGCAUAUGGACUACGUACUUGAGGUGCUCUCCAGUGGGUGCGACAAGCAGCACACCUGCACCGGCGCCUUGCAGCGAGAAGGCUCCAUCAAAGUACAUCAGCCACUCUUUGCUUGCCUCUUUGACGGGGAUGCUCGUUUCUGGAAUUUCUUCAUCUGGGGUUGGCGUCCACUCUGCUAUGAACUCUGCCAAUGCUCUGCUUUGGAUAGUUGAGAUGCUCUCAAACUUGAGGCCAAAGCUUGACAGUUCCAGCGCCCACUCGACAAUCCUGCCUGUUGCUUCUGGAUUUUGCAGUAUCCUCUUUAGCGGAAAGCGAGUGACGACUGUGAUCUCAUGUGCUUGGAAGUAAUGGCGCAGCUUUCUCGAGGCCAUAAGGAGGCCGAAAAGCAACUUCUGUACACCAGAGUACCUUGAUCUAGCCCCCUGCAGAAGAGAACUGACAAAGUAAACUGGGCGCUGCACCAUUCUCCUUGGCAUCUUAUCAUGCUCCUGCGCAAACUCAUGUUUGUCGGGGCCAGAGCUUGUCGGUGAAGCCCCCUGUUUGUCGCUGGAUGGAUCUGCCGUGGUUGCUGGCUCAUCAUCUGCCUCCCUCUCCGCCACUAACGCAGCACUAACUACUUGAUUGGUUGCUGCUAUAUACAGCAGCAACUUCUCUCGCGGCUUAGGUGCGACAAGCGUUGGAGUGGAGGACAGGUAUCUCUUCAAGUCCUGCAGCGCAGCCUCCACUUCCGGAGUCCAUUUCAUUGGACCCGCCUUUUUCAAAAUUUUGAAAAAUGGCAGGGCGCGCUCAGCAGAUCUAGAGAUAAACCUGCUGAGAGCAGCCACGCAGCCGGCAAGCCUUCGUACAUCCUUGACGCACUUUGGUGCUUCGAUCUGCUCGAUGGCUUUGAUCUUGUCGGGGUUAAGCUUGAGGUUGAUCUUGCGCAGGUUUGCAAAUGUCUCAUCUAAAUAUUGAAUCAAGGUCGCUUUGUCCUUGCUCUUGACCACUAUGUCAUCCAUGUAAGCUUCCACAUUUCUGUGUAUUUGUGGCUCAAAAGCAUGGUGAACUACCCUUGCGAAUGUUGAACCGGCAUUCUUCAAACCGAAAGGCAUCCGUACGAAGCAGUAUGUGCCACACGGGGUGAUAAAUGCGGUUUUCUCUUCAUCUUCUUCUGCCAUGAAGAUCUGAUGGUAUCCUGAGUAUGCAUCAAGAAAUGAAAGCAAAUCACAUCCGGCUGUGGAGUCAACAAUCUGGUCAAUACGCGGCAAGGGAAAUGGGUCUUUGGGACAAGCUUUAUUAACAUCAGUGAAGUCAAUACAAAGUCUCCAUUUCCCGUUAGCUUUGCGCACAACAACAGGAUUGGCCAACCACGUGGGAUGGAGUACUCAUCUGACAAGGCCUGCUGCUUCCAACUUCUUGAUUUCUUCUGCGAUAAAUUUUGGCGCUCUACUGCCUGCUUCCUGACUCUCUGCUUGACGGGCCACACAUGAGGACAGACGGCAAGGUGGUGCUCAAUCACUUUCCUGGGAACACCGGGGAUAUCAGACGGUUGCCACGCAAACACGUCGAUAUUCGCCCGCAGGAAAGCAACAAGCGCGCGGGUCAAGAGUGGCGCUGAUGGUGAAGGUACCACCAGUGCCAUCCUCCUUGGCAGACACCUUCUUGGUCUCAGGUGGAGCUGCCAUUGCCUUCUUGCACUUGCCGGUGGAGCUCGAUGGUGCGUCCUCGACGGUAGCGCAGCACUCUGAAGAGGUGCGCUUGCCGGAGUGGGCAUCAGAGCUCUUGCCGGACUUGGUCUUCUUCUUCUCCCCGGGAGCUUCAGCGGCAAGUGCCCUUCGUUCUGCUGCGGCUGCUGCUUCCCGGUAGAUCUUGUCGGCACAGAUAAGAGCAUCCUUCUUGUCGCCAGGGACAGAGAUGACACUUAUUGGGCCUGGCAUUUUCAGUACGUUGUACGCAUAGUGAGAGGCUUCCAUGAACUUGGCGAGUGCCGGACGACCAAGGAUUCCAUUGUAAGGUAAUGGAAAGUCGGCAACGUCAAACGUGACCCUCUCAGUCCUGAAGUUCAGCUCAUUGCCAAAUGUUACCGGCAACGUGAUCUUUCCCUUUGGCUUGCUCCUUCCCGGGUUGAUUCCUUGAAAUGUGCCGGUCUCUUCGAGCUCGCUGUCAGGGAUCUGGAGCUUCUGGAGCACCAUGGACGAGAUCAAGUUCAAACCGGCCCCGCCGUCAACUAGCAUCUUAGUGACCUUGAGGUUGCGGAUUGUUGGUGAAACCAACAUCGGCAAGCACCCGACCGCAGUUAUGCGAUCCGGGUGGUCCUCAAUAUCAAAGAUGAUAGGCGUGCUGGACCAUUUCAGAGGCUUGCGUGACUCGACGGGCGGUUCUGCUGCAUUAACUACCCGCAUCCACUGCCUGAGCUGGCGGUGCGAGGCAUGCAGAGAAGCACCACCGUCAACGCACAGGACCUCUGUAGCUUUCUGGAACUCCUGCUCAUCAGUCUCCUCAUCAUCCAUAUAUUCAUCGUCACCGUCAUCUUCAUCCUUGUCGCGGCCGCGAGGAGGUCUGUCACCUUGCCGCUGCUUGGCCUUGCUGCGGCGUCCUCCUCGGCCGGGACGUUUCUUGCCGGAUCCACCAGCUCCUUCCUGGGCUUUCUCCUUGUCGCGCCGCUCGUAUUCAGCUUUUUGUUGCUCAACAAGCUGCUCGACCCUCUUGCAGUUCUGAAGAUCAUGGCCCUUGGUGCGGUGAAUCUUGCAAUACUGCUUGUUGGUGCCGUCCUGCUUGUCGGCGACCGCCACCUCUGCGGCAACCUCCUUGCCGGAGUCACCAGCUUUGGCUUCCUUGGCACCGCCACUGUUGCCGGACUGCUCAACAACUAGCACUUCUUUGCCUUUCCUCCUUUUGUUGUUCCGCCGCCGGGUUUUCCUUGUUAGGGCGGCAUCACUGUCAGAUCCUCCCGCUCCUAUAUUUUCUCCGGGGAGUCUCCUACCUUCCUCAGCACGCGCGCACUUGUCGGCCAGUGCAUAUAACUCACUGACGUCCCUGAUCUUGCACAUCGCCAUUUCCUCCCGCAUCCUGCGGUUCCACACGUUCUGAUGGAACGCGCUGAUCACCACGGCAGGGUGGACAUCUGGGAUGUUGUGCUGCACGCUACUGAAUCUCUGAAUGUACUUGCGCAGGGGCUCUCCUUCCUUCUGGGCGAGCAAAUGAAGAUCACUCUCCUGGCCAUGAGGCUUGUGUCCGCCGGUAAAGGCGCCGACAAACUGAUGGCACAGAUCAGCCCAAGAGGAUAUGGAGUUGUCCGGCAAGUGCAUGAGCCAGGACCUGACAUUGGGCUUGAGUACCAGCGGGAAGUAGUUGGCAAGGAUCUUGUCAUCUCAUCCCCCGGCAGCUUGCACCGCAAUGGUGUAGAUGCUGAGGAACUCUGACGGAUGCGUCUUGCCAUCAUACUUCUCCGGUAUGUCUGGCUUGAAGUUCUUUGUACUGGGCCACUGGACUUGCCGCAGCUCACGAGUGAACGCAGGACAACCUACCUCAUACGGUAGAUCGCCUGGUUCCCCUGGCGCAUGCAUGUCAACAGAGGGCCCAGCGCGCUUGUCGGAUUGACGUCGCGCUUCUCUUCGGCGCUCGAUGCGGGUUCGAGCAUCUUCUUGUUGUCGAUCAUGAAGAACUUGGCGCUGAUCACGACGAGCUCGUGGAUCCGACGAUGCAGUGGAGUCGCUGUCGAGGUGGAUCCGACGAGUCGGCGAUCUUGGCCUUCGGGGCGGUGAUUUCAUGGUAGUUGCACCUUCGCCCGUUUCGUCGCCACCGGCUCGCGUCCGGCGGUCCUGCCGCGGCGGCGAUGCGCUCGGCCGCCGUGGAGUGUCGCCGUUGGCGUAGCCGAUGAGACUCUGAAUGGUGGCUCUCCAUUCGUCGAUCUUGUCUGACGUCGGAGGGUAAUCUAGGAGAAGUUGAGCUCGCGCCAAAGCUUCUGCUGGGGUAGUGGGUGGUAGUGGCGGACGGCGCGAGGAGCGGGACGUGCUCGAACUUCUAACUAUGUUAGAAGGAGCAGUAUCCCGUCUAGGCGACCGUGCCCCGCUCGUACCAGCGCGCUGGCGUGCAUAUUGGUCUUGAGCGCUCCGAGAUCCACCAGAUUGGUCUUGGGCUAUCAUGCGUAUGGCAUUGCUAGCGCCAUGACGCUGUUGAUCUUGCGCCUCCUGAGAGUGGCGUGGAACAUGUACAGUCGCCGAGGUUUGUGCAGCCUUGUUCUUGGACCUGGCGGCAUCAUGGACUUCCUCGUCGACGUCCUUUCUUCCGCCGGCGUCCAUCCCAGCACUCGUUUGCUCCAACGGUGGCGGAAGUGACGUGGAUAGAGCGGCUGCCGCCGAAGUCUUCUUCUUCGGUGGCAUGUUGAUGAAGGGAAUAAGGAUCUAGCUCGUGUGAACACCGGAUCAGGUUCACGCAAUCUCGACGUUCCCUACCUGGCGCGCCAGAGAUGUCGGGGAAAAUGAUCCUCGAACACCUAUGGGGCCGGUGGACCGGGCCCCUUUCGGUUCGGCGGGGGGCGGAGAUCACACGAAGAGCAGAUCGAGGCGAGGCACACGAGCAGUUUACCCAGCUUCGGAGCUCUCCGGAGAGAUAACACUCCUACUGCUGCUUGUCUGGUUGUAUUAUUUGGUGUUCUUGCUCUCCAAAGCGAGAGUGUGAUGUUCUCUGGGCUACGGAUGGAUCGAAGCAAACUACCUGGGGCCCCGAACCUCUGAGCCGAACCCCCUCUACGUUGCACAUGGGCCUCCUUUUAUACGCUAAAGGGGUCACCGACAGGUGGCAACGCAGAGGAGGGUAAAAACAUAAAAAGCGAGGUAGUUGAUACAGUUGCUUGUACAGUGCACCCUACCUAACCCCGACGGCAGGGGACAAGGGCAUUAAAUGCCCGUCUGAGUCACCCGAACAGUGUAGAAAAGGACCGUUAGGGGCGCCACCGUUCGCCACGAUGGCGAUCUUGUCAGCUUCGCAUGCCACUGCGCACCGCUGGCUGCACAGCCUCUUGCCACGCACGCCCGGAGAGGCCCCCAGAGCGACACGUUGGUGGAUGCGCUGGAGCGUGGACGCAGAGUGGCCGCCUGCCGUGGCAAGCGCCUUGCCGCUGUUGUUAUCUUGUCGGGUCCGGAAGCUUGUCGCUCACCGGGCUUCGAGGUACCUUGGUUUGUCUUCCCGGCAAGCUCCUCUUGCCGGGGCCUUGUCGCCUUGCCGGAGCGCGUGGCGCGUCGCGGCAAGUUCAUUGGAGCGUCUUGGUUGGCCUUCCCGGCAAGCUCCUCUUGCCGGGGCCUUGUCUCCUUAGCUUAAAUACUUUGUUCUUAGAUGGCUCCAAGGGAACCUUGGGGGAUCUUGGCGAUCACCCGGCAAGCCUUUGCCGCGGGGUGCUGCAACUGCCCGUGCACAAGUUCGGGGUACUAGGGUACCCCCAAUCUAGUACACCGACACACAUCAUCACAAUGGAAAGGGGUAAUAGUUAUGAAAAUCUUACAUGGGUAAUAGUUAUGAAAAAUCCAGUUCAUAGGUUCAUCAUGGUCCAGUAACAUGACCUCCAGAAUAGGAUUACCGUACCACUCUGGUGUGGAUCUUACUCUGGUUAACCUACGAGUUUUGGUAGUAACUUGAUCAGAAAUUUCAUGAUCAUCAUCAUUAGCUUCCUCACUUACUGGUGUAGGAAUCAUUGGAACUGAUUUCAGUGAUGAACUACUUUCCAAUAAAGGAGCAGGUACAAUUACCUCAUCAAGUUCUACUUUCCUCCCACUCACUUCUUUCGAGAGAAACUGCUUCUCUAGAAAGGAUCCAUUCUUAGCAACGACUAUCUUGCCUUCGGAUCUGUGAUAGAAGGUGUACCCAAUAGUCUCCUUUGGGUUUUCUUUGAAGACACAUUUCUCCGAUUUGGGUUCGAGCUUAUCAGGAUGAAGAUUUUUUCACAUAAGCAUUGCAGCCCCAAACUUUAAGAAACGACAACUUGGGUUUCUUGCCAAACCACGGUUCAUAAGGUGUCGUCUCAACAGAUUUAGAUGGUGCCCUAUUUAACGUGAAUGCAGUUGUCUCUAAAGCAUAACCCCAAAAUGGUAGUGGUAAAUCAGUAAGAGACAUCGUAGAUCGCACCAUAUCUAGUAAAGUAUGAUUAUGACGUUCGGAUACACCAUUAAGAUGUGGUUUUCCGGGUGGCGUGAGUUGCGAAACUAUUCCGCAUUGUUUCAAAUGAAGACCAAACUCGUAACUCAAAUAUUCUCCUCCACGAUCAGAUCAUAGAAACUUUAUUUUCUUGUUAUGAUGAUUUCCACUUCACUCUGAAAUUCUUUGAACUUUUCAAAUGUUUCAGACUUAUGUUUCAUUAAGUAUGAUUUCUAAUAACUUUGUUGCUCGCUCCAUUGUUCUGGAGAACAGAGUUUUAGUCAUCUUACCUAUGAGGCAUCGUUCGCAAGUACCAAGUGAUUUAUAAUCAAGUGAUUCCAUAAGUCCAUCAGAAUGGAGUUUCUUUAUGCGCUUUACACCAAUAUGACCCAAACGACAGUGCCCCAAAUAAGUUGCACUAUCAUUAUCAACUCUGCAUCUUUUGGAUUCAAUACUAUGAUCAUGUGUAUCACUACUAUCAAGAUUUAGUAAAAAUAGACCACUCAUCAAGGGUGCAUGACCAUAAAAGAAAUUACUCAUAUAAAUAGAACAACCAUUAUUCUCUGAUUUCAAUGAAUAACCGUCUCACAUCAAACAAGAUCCAGAUAUAAUAUUCAUGCUCAACGCUAGCACCAAAUAACAAUUAUUUUGGUCUAAAACUAAUCCCAAAGGUAGAUGUAGAGGUAGCAUGCUGACGGCGAUCACAUCGACUAUGGAACGAUUUCCCAUGCGCAUCGUCACCUCGUCCUUAGCCAAUCUUCGCUUAAUCCGUAGCCCCUGUUUCAAGUUGCAAAUAUUAGCAAUAGAACUAGUAUCAAAUACCCAGGCGCUACUGCGAGCAUUAGUAAGGUACAUAUCAAUAACAUGUAAACCUUUCACUUUUCCAUCCUUCUUUUCCGCCAAAUACUUGGGGCAGUUCCGCUUCCAGUGACCAGUCCCUUUGCAGUAGAAGCACUCAUUUUCAGGCUUAGGUCCAGACUUGGGCUUCUUCACUUGAGCAGCAACUGGCUUGCUGUGCUUCUUGAAGUUCCCCUUCCUCCCUUUACCCUUUUUCUUGAAACUGGUGGUCUUAUUGACCAUCAAACAAUUGCUUGGCUUGUCAUCGGGGUUGUGCAUGAUUUAAAUAUUUUGUGUGAUGAAGAUAGAGCAUAGCCAGACUAUAUGAUUUUGUAGGGACAACUUUCUUUGGCCAUGUUAUUUUGAGAAGACUCUUUUUGAUUAAUUUCUCAUUAUUUUACGUGAUAAUAAUGAUUUAUUUUUCUGUGUCGUGGCGAUAAAAUGAUUUUAGCGACACAAUGAAAAAAGAUGCUAAAUCAAAAAGUAUCAAUAGCUUAUUAUUAAUUUACUUGUAUGAACUGAAUCAGGUUUCACACAAACAAUAUAAGCAUUCACCUUCACGCAAUAUUUCUAGUACAUAUAUAAACUCAUUUCAUGGUACUUCUCAGUUCUUUCUGCAGCAGCAUGUGCUACUACUGCCUUCAACACAACUGCUCUUAUCCUUGUCAUAACCUCGGUUAACACAGUUAGCUUUGCACGCAAUGUUGCCACUAGCUCGGUCUGGUGGCGAACAAUAGUCCACAGUUGUACA
rnacentral:lncRNA from 1 species